rnacentral:rRNA from 1 species
AGAGUUUGAUCCUGGCUCAGGACGAACGCUGGCGGCGUGCCAAAUGCAUGCAAGUCGAGCGGGCUACGAUCUUCGGAUUGUAGCUUAGCGGCGAACGGGUGAGUAACACGUAGGUAAUCUACCCUUCAGAGGAGGACAACCUCAGGAAACUGAGGCUAAACCUUCAUACGUUCACUGGUAGGGAUACUGGUGAAGAAAGAGUUACCUUAGUGGUAGCUGCUGAAGGAUGAGCCUGCGGCCCAUCAGGUAGUUGGUGAGGUAACGGCUCACCAAGCCGAAGACGGGUAACCGGUCUGAGAGGAUGUCCGGUCACACUGGGACUGAGACACGGCCCAGACUCCUACGGGAGGCAGCAGCAGGGAAUCUUGGGCAAUGGGCGAAAGCCUGACCCAGCGACGCCGCGUGGAGGAAGAAGUCCUUCGGGGCGUAAACUCCUGGACUGGGGGACGAGUAAGGACGGUACCCCAGUAGAAAGGGACGGCUAACUACGUGCCAGCAGCCGCGGUAAAACGUAGGUCCCGAGCGUUGUUCGGAUUCACUGGGUGUAAAGGGCGCGUAGGUGGUUGUCUGUGUCUCAUGUGAAAACUCAGGGCUCAACUCUGAGAUUGCGUGGGAAACUAGGCAGCUAGAGGACGGUAGAGGGGAGUGGAUUUCCCGGUGUAGCGGUAAAAUGCGUAGAUAUCGGGAGGAACACCGGUGGCGAAGGCGGCUCUCUGGGCCGAUCCUGACGCUGAGGCGCGAAAGCUAGGGGAGCGAACCGGAUUAGAUACCCGGGUAGUCCUAGCCGUAAACGAUGGGUGCUAGGUGUUGGGGGGUAAAGACCCUUCAGUGCCGAAGCCAACGCGAUAAGCAUCCCACCUGGGGAGUACGGCCGCAAGGUUGAAACUCAAAUGAAUUGACGG